UCUAUCUCUCCCUUCCCUCUCACCACCUCCUCGUCAUCCUCAGCGUGCACGCUGCGCGUGGCCGUAGUGGGGGUGGCCCCGCGGCACGUCGGCUGCCGAGGCGCUGGUCUCGCCGAGGGCCCAGAUGCAGGUGCUCUCCUCUACCAACCUCGCCGCUGACUUCUCCCGCGCGCUGCCGCCCGGGGCACCCAUCCCCAUGCUCCGCCGUGAGGUGCUCCACUCCUUCCUCCGCCGUCGAGGCCGAGCUCGUCCAGGGCCUCAUCACCUCCGCCGUGAGGUGCUCCACUCCUUCGUCUUCAAGCUCUCGCCCCAGGGGUGCGCUAGUGCCAGGUGCGGCGAGCCAGCAGAUCAAGGAAACCGCCCGUGGCCGCCCCAAGCGUUACAUCUGCACUGGCUGCUGCUGGUGACAAGCAAGAACAACCAAAGCUCUUCAAAUGUCUGUCCAGGAUGCAAACAUGUCCAGUGACACUGAUAUGAGUAAGGUGUUUGAAGACAGAACGUUUGUGUCAUCUAUCCUUAAUUCGGUAUGUAUUAUUCUUAAACUAAUGGCAUACAGGUACAUUUUAGCUGCAGCUUCAAGAAUUUAUUGGCCCUUUUAUGUGUAAAAUAACAGUUUCCUGGUGUUGAUCCCAAUGAUCCAUCUGUUAAAGAUUUGCUGGCAUCAUUGCACAGCCAGAAAGAGGAAGAGAAGAAGGAAGACAAGUCAGACAAAACAGAAGACGAGAAGAACUGCUUCAAGCUGGAGUGAUGUCGCUGUGGUGCUUUUGUGACUGAUCAUCUCUGGAGCUUUUGUGAAUGAUGUAGCUAGCUAUCUGUAAUUGAUCUAGUUGUGAAUGAUAUUAUAAUUGUGAUACUUUUGUGAAUAUAUAAUUGUGGUGCUUUUGUGUUUAUGUGAUGGAUCUAUGACUGUGGUAUACUGAUUAAUUGUGUAUGUCUUUAUGAUUCGUGUAU